GAGUUUGAUCCUGGCUCAGGAUGAACGCUGGCGGCGUGCCUAACACAUGCAAGUCGAACGAAGCACUGAGAGUUUGAGAUUUCGGUCAAGAACUUUCUUUGACUUAGUGGCGGACGGGUGAGUAAUGCGUGAGCAACCUGCCUUUCAGAGGGGGACAACAGUUGGAAACGACUGCUAAUACCGCAUGAUAUAUUCGGAUGGCAUCGUCUGAAUAUCAAAGAUUUAUCGCUGAAAGAUGGGCUCACGUCUGAUUAGUUAGUUGGUGAGGUAACGGCUCACCAAGACUGCGAUCAGUAGCCGGACUGAGAGGUUGAACGGCCACAUUGGGACUGAGAUACGGCCCAGACUCCUACGGGAGGCAGCAGUGGGGAAUAUUGGGCAAUGGGCGAAAGCCUGACCCAGCAACGCCGCGUGAAGGAAGAAGGUCUUCGGAUUGUAAACUUCUUUUAUCAGGGACGAAGUAAGUGACGGUACCUGAUGAAUAAGCCACGGCUAACUACGUGCCAGCCGCCGCGGUAAUAC
rnacentral:rRNA from 1 species